rnacentral:rRNA from 1 species
UGGGGAAUCUUGCGCAAUGGGCGAAAGCCUGGCGCAGCCAUGCCGCGUGAAUGAUGAAGGUCUUAGGAUUGUAAAAUUCUUUCACCGGGGACGAUAAUGACGGUACCCGGAGAAGAAGCCCCGGCUAACUUCGUGCCAGCAGCCGCGGUAAUACGGAGGGGGCUAGCGUUGCUCGGAAUUACUGGGCGUAAAGGGAGCGUAGGCGGACAUUUAAGUCAGGGGUGAAAUCCCGGGGCUCAACCUCGGAACUGCCUUUGAUACUGGGUGUCUUGAGUGUGAUAGAGGUAUGUGGAACUCCGAGUGUAGAGGUGAAAUUCGUAGAUAUUCGGAAGAACACCAGUGGCGAAGGCGACAUACUGGAUCAUUACUGACGCUGAGGCUCGAAAGCGUGGGGAGCAAACAGGAUUAGAUACCCUGGUAGUCCACGCCGUAAACGAUGAUUGCUAGUUGUCGGGGUGUUUACACCUCGGUGACGCAGCUAACGCAUUAAGCAAUCCGCCUGGGGGAGUACGGUCGCAAGAUUAAAAACUUAAAUGAAUUGAC